GACGAACGCUGGCGGCGUGCUUAACACAUGCAAGUCGAACGAUGAAGCUGGAGCUUGCUCCGGUGGAUUAGUGGCGAACGGGUGAGUAACACGUGAGCAAUCUGCCCUUGACUCUGGGAUAACUGCGGGAAACUGUAGCUAAUACCGGAUAUGAGAUCUGAAGGCAUCUUCGGGUUUGGAAAGAAUUUCGGUCAAGGAUGAGCUCGCGGCCUAUCAGCUAGUUGGUGAGGUAAUGGCUCACCAAGGCGACGACGGGUAGCCGGCCUGAGAGGGUGACCGGCCACACUGGAACUGAGACACGGUCCAGACUCCUACGGGAGGCAGCAGUGGGGAAUAUUGCACAAUGGGCGAAAGCCUGAUGCAGCAACGCCGCGUGAGGGAUGAAGGCCUUCGGGUUGUAAACCUCUUUUAGCAGGGAAGAAGCGAAAGUGACGGUACCUGCAGAAAAAGCACCGGCUAACUACGUGCCAGCCGCCGCAGUAA
rnacentral:rRNA from 1 species